GACGAACGCUGGCGGCGUGCUUAACACAUGCAAGUCGAACGCUGAAGACCUGGCUUUUGUUGGGUUGGAUGAGUGGCGAACGGGUGAGUAACACGUGAGUAACCUGCCCUCUUCUUUGGGAUAACGCCCGGAAACGGGUGCUAAUACUGGAUAUUCACUGAUCUUCGCAUGGGGGUUGGUGGAAAGGUUUGUUCUGGUGGGGGAUGGGCUCGCGGCCUAUCAGCUUGUUGGUGGGGUGAUGGCCUACCAAGGCUUUGACGGGUAGCCGGCCUGAGAGGGUGACCGGUCACAUUGGGACUGAGAUACGGCCCAGACUCCUACGGGAGGCAGCAGUGGGGAAUAUUGCACAAUGGGCGAAAGCCUGAUGCAGCGACGACGCGUGAGGGAUGGAGGCCUUCGGGUUGUAAACCUCUUUCGCUCAUGGUCAAGCCGCAACUGUGGGUUGUGGUGAGGGUAGUGGGUAAAGAAGCGCCGGCUAACUACGUG
rnacentral:rRNA from 1 species